GCCUUAGUAGCUCAGUGGUAGAGCGUUUGCCUAGUAUCACGGGUCAUACCCCGAUGCCAGCAAAAGGUCCAGUGUUCGACUCACUGUUGAGGCA
rfam:Puccinia sorghi strain RO10H11247 Scaffold_1300, whole genome shotgun sequence.